CUGGUCUGGGCUGCCACCACCUGGGACCAUGUUGAUGCUCAAGGGCUGUACAGAGCUGGUUCUGCAUCUCACUGGCUUCCUGUACUCAGGAGAGUGGGCCCUGCACCCCUGGGCAGCAGAGUAGAGUUGGCCCUGGUGGCAGGGGUCAGGAGUGAGCUGGGCCUGAAAGGGUGAACACAGGACAGCUGAACCUGCCACCUGUGGUAGGGGCCAAUCCCAAAGCUGUAGGAUCGCCAUGACACAGAGCAACUGUGGGAUAUCAGAGAGGAGUGAGGAUCCAGUAUUGCUGGAGUAGCAGAAGCCAGAGGCCUCAAACCAGACCAGUGACUCACUGCAGUGAACAGGAUGUGUGGCCAAGAACAUUCUGUGAGACCCACUGUGACAUGCUACAACUUUCAUAUCACGAAACUUCAUUUUUAUAAGGAAAACAAAGCUGGAAGAAACAAUUUAAAAUUUAAAAAAAAAAAAAAAAAAGAAUAUAAGGCUGAAGAGAGACUGUAAAGGAGCCUGAGGCCUUGUUUCUUGCCCCACCCCUGCAGCACUCAGCAGACAGCCACCUCCCACAGGGAAGGGCCCUCGCUCAGGGGAAGGCGAGGGAGAACAGGGUGAAGAACUCCGGGAGGGGGGACCAGAGGAGGGGGCAACAUUUGGGAUAUAAAUAUAAUUAAUUUUAAAAAUUAAUAAUAAAAAAAGGCA
rnacentral:lncRNA from 1 species